rnacentral:rRNA from 1 species
AUACAUUGGCAAGUCGGUACGCUUCUUUUUCCACCGGAGCUUGCUCCACCGGAAAAAGAAGAGUGGCGAACGGGUGAGUAACACGUGGGUAACCUGCCCAUCAGAAGGGGAUAACACUUGGAAACAGGUGCUAAUACCGUAUAACAAUCGAAACCGCAUGGUUUUGAUUUGAAAGGCGCUUUCGGGUGUCGCUGAUGGAUGGACCCGCGGUGCAUUAGCUAGUUGGUGAGGUAACGGCUCACCAAGGCCACGAUGCAUAGCCGACCUGAGAGGGUGAUCGGCCACAUUGGGACUGAGACACGGCCCAAACUCCUACGGGAGGCAGCAGUAGGGAAUCUUCGGCAAUGGACGAAAGUCUGACCGAGCAACGCCGCGUGAGUGAAGAAGGUUUUCGGAUCGUAAAACUCUGUUGUUAGAGAAGAACAAGGAUGAGAGUAACUGUUCAUCCCUUGACGGUAUCUAACCAGAAAGCCACGGCUAACUACGUGCCAGCAGCCGCGGUAAUACGUAGGUGGCAAGCGUUGUCCGGAUUUAUUGGGCGUAAAGCGAGCGCAGGCGGUUUCUUAAGUCUGAUGUGAAAGCCCCCGGCUCAACCGGGGAGGGUCAUUGGAAACUGGGAGACUUGAGUGCAGAAGAGGAGAGUGGAAUUCCAUGUGUAGCGGUGAAAUGCGUAGAUAUAUGGAGGAACACCAGUGGCGAAGGCGGCUCUCUGGUCUGUAACUGACGCUGAGGCUCGAAAGCGUGGGGAGCAAACAGGAUUAGAUACCCUGGUAGUCCACGCCGUAAACGAUGAGUGCUAAGUGUUGGAGGGUUUCCGCCCUUCAGUGCUGCAGCUAACGCAUUAAGCACUCCGCCUGGGGAGUACGACCGCAAGGUUGAAACUCAAAGGAAUUGACGGGGGCCCGCACAAGCGGUGGAGCAUGUGGUUUAAUUCGAAGCAACGCGAAGAACCUUACCAGGUCUUGACAUCCUUUGACCACUCUAGAGAUAGAGCUUCCCCUUCGGGGGCAAAGUGACAGGUGGUGCAUGGUUGUCGUCAGCUCGUGUCGUGAGAUGUUGGGUUAAGUCCCGCAACGAGCGCAACCCUUAUUGUUAGUUGCCAUCAUUUAGUUGGGCACUCUAGCAAGACUGCCGGUGACAAACCGGAGGAAGGUGGGGAUGACGUCAAAUCAUCAUGCCCCUUAUGACCUGGGCUACACACGUGCUACAAUGGGAAGUACAACGAGUCGCGAAGUCGCGAGGCUAAGCUAAUCUCUUAAAGCUUCUCUCAGUUCGGAUUGUAGGCUGCAACUCGCCUACAUGAAGCCGGAAUCGCUAGUAAUCGCGGAUCAGCACGCCGCGGUGAAUACGUUCCCGGGCCUUGUACACACCGCCCGUCACACCACGAGAGUUUGUAACACCCGAAGUCGGUGAAGGUAAAACCCUUUUUGGGAAGCCCCCCA